rnacentral:rRNA from 1 species
UUGAACGCUGGCGGAAUGCUUUAUACAUGCAAGUCGAACGGAGACAGUAGCAAUAUUGUCUUAGUGGCGAACGGGUGAGUAACGCGUUGGUGAUCUGCCUCGAAGUGUGGAAUAACGUUCCGAAAGGAGCACUAAUACCGCAUGGUCUUCCGGUUUUUAGAAAACUGGAAGUAAAGGAGUAAUUCGCUUCGAGAGGAGCCUGCGUCCCAUCAGCUAGUUGGUAAGGUAAUGGCUUACCAAGGCUAUGACGGGUAGGGGACCUGAGAGGGUGGCCCCCCACAAUGGAACUGAAACACGGUCCAUACACCUACGGGUGGCAGCAGUAGGGAAUAUUAGUAAUGGGCGAAAGCCUGAACUAGCGACACCGCGUGUGCGAAGAAGGCCUUCGGGUUGUAAAGCACUUUUAGAGAGGAUGAGGAAGGACGGUACUCUCUGAAUAAGUCUCGGCUAACUACGU